UCAGUAGUAUGAUAGACAAGAAAAGAGUGACUCUCACUAAAUUCAUAUUUCCUACAUUAAGAAGCGUCCAAUGUUUGCUUUGACAGUAUGCCGCCCAGGAUACAUAGGCCCAAAUUGUUCCGUAUCCUGUGGAGAAGGGUUUUAUGGAACAGGAUGUCAACAGCAGUGCUCUUCCUCCUGCUCAAUCUGCAACAUUAUCGAUGGAAGUUGCCCGAAAGCAUGCCGCCCAGGAUACAUAGGCCCAAAUUGUUCCGUAUCCUGUGGAGAAGGGUUGUAUGGAAAGGGAUGUCAACAGAAGUGCCCUUCUUCCUGCUCAAUCUGCAACAUUAUCGAUGGAAGUUGUCCCAAAGGUUUGUUAGUGAUACAUGUAUGAAACAUUGGAUGCAUGUGAUACGAGAAAAAACCAACCGCAUCAUCGACAAUGAAAACAACAAGUUAUAAUGUAGAUAAAGUGUCUUAAUUUCAUAAGUAUGUUAAAUUUGCUUUUGUGGAAAUAAAAACUAUUUGAUUUCACUUCAUUUGACCACGUAGACAACAACAAAGAGCAAAACAGCUUUGCUUCCCGCUGCAGUCUGAAAACCAAAUAAUCACAAAGACACACACAUUAUUACAAGCGGUGCAUGGUAUAAUACUUUUCUGUCCAGAAAUGAAUUUGUAUAGAUGGACAUACUAAUUUGUGUAACAAUCGCUUAUGCAUACUUACUUUCGUAUAGCUUGUUGUACUCGAACAAAGCGUUUUUGCCCAUGCAUCUUACCGAAUGGAACACAUCGUUGGACUUUACCCCUCACUUUUUGUAAAAAUCGCCCGAGCGUAACUUUUUUGACUGGUACAUGUAUUUAUUCCUGGUUGAGCUGCGUCAAUGGUGAGAUGGUAGAUGUGUUACUAUGUGCUAUAACCUUACACAUAUUCGAUGUGAACUACUUCAAGUAAGUUAUAUAUGAAAUACUUACAAAUAUAUACCUGUAACUUAUGUAUGACAGGGGUACGGUUACACGGUCAUGGUAAGUAUAUAUUUUGCAUUUAUUGUUUAUUUGCAGUAUAUUUCUGCUUAUUUAAGAAUUAUGUACAUACUUGUUCAUAUACUGUAGCUGAAUUUGGCUAAUACUCACCAUUUUGCCUGUAUGUGUGGUGACGUGAGCGUUUAGACAUUUUAACCGUAAAACUCCUUAUUGUUACAUUAUCUAGAGAGUUAGAGAGUUAAUUUUAGGUAUAUUUUGUAAUUUUCAUGUGACAUUUAAAUUUUGCUUUCUAUAUAUUGUUUCCUGGACAUACCAGAGGUGGAAUCAGGUGUCUAAGAGUAAGCAUCCCCUGUUGACUAGUCACGACCACCUAGUAUACUAUAUCUUAAUCGGAUAAACGAAGUAAUCAGUAGUCAAAAUCAGUAUGUAGAGAACGGCCUAACAAUUGGCAUGAAACAACAUACAACAUUCGACUAAUGAAAUUGUAUAUGUAUUUGUAAAUUCGAUUGUUAGAACAAACACAAAGCUGACUUUAAACGAGGCUGUUGAAACCCCUGCAACAUUAAUUUAUGUUUUUCAGUAGCCUAUACUGUGCCUCCAUUUAAAAACUGACCAUACACAAACCAUGUUCGUACGUAUCGAAUCAAUCGGAAUACAUAACCACCAUAUGCAGGUGAUAAUGGUAUAUUGGUGCAUAAUUAUGACAUAUGAUUAGAAGUAAAUUGAGUACAAUCUAAAAAAUGUCAAAUAUGUCUUAACAUCUACGGAACAUAUAGAAAUUGUUUACUUCAUACUUAGAUAUUUUGUUGAAUGUAAAUGUUAACGGUAAACUAACAACCCUGCUUGAUGACAAACUAGUAUUACUAGUUUGCAUUUGAAACUUGAUAACAAUCAAUUUUCCAGUACAUUAGGUUUUAAUAGAAAAUAGAUGACAACAUUCUAUCCUUUACUUAUAAUACACUUAUAUAAAAUAAAAAAGCCCCCACAUUUUCAUGAAUAUUCUCUAAUCGUUUGUAACGAUCUUGUAUCUAUUGUAGUGAUAAUGGAUUGUGCAAAAAUUCAAUGACACUACAGUAUACUGAUUCACGCGUCUGUCACUGUAUGUACACGUUAACUCUUUAGACAAACAACAACAGGGUUGUAGGAUGUUGACUUCAAUUCCAGGAACUCUCAUAUCUGUCUGUACCGUCAUUGCAGCUAUUUCCUUGAUGAUUCUUGGUUUCCAGAAAUCCAAUAUAAUUGUGAUUAGCAAGAACAUGUGCCGUGUUUAUUGCAUGGUUGCAGAGUAUUUGUGCUAGUUAUUCAACAAAUUGCAGGACGUGUCCAAAAAUUUACAAUUCCUCUGAAAUUUAUAAAUAGAUGGCAUUGAUCCAGUUGAUGAUACCAGUGAAAUAACAGUAUACAUAGUUGUCAUAGGACUGAUAGUUGCAUGUACAUGUCUAGUGGCAGGUUUUGUGCCAUUUUACAUACGGAAAAGGGGAAACUA